AUAGUAUUCAGCCUUGGAAUCACUGAUGUGU
rnacentral:piRNA from 1 species